UACGGGGGGGGCAAGCGUUGUUCGGACUUACUGGGCGUAAAGGGCUCGUAGGUGGCCAACUAAGUCAGACGUGAAAUCCCUCGGCUUAACCGGGGAACUGCGUCUGAUACUGGAUGGCUUGAGUUCGGGAGAGGGAUGCGGAAUUCCAGGUGUAGCGGUGAAAUGCGUAGAUAUCUGGAGGAACACCGGUGGCGAAGGCGGCAUCCUGGACCGGUAUUGACGCUGAGGCGCGAAAGCCAGGGGAGCAAACGGG
rnacentral:rRNA from 1 species